GCUGGGUGCAGUGGUGCAUGCCUGUAUUCCCAGUGGCUGGGGAGGCUGAGGCAGGAGGAUCAUGAGUUCAAAGCCAGCCUCAGCAGUGGUGAUGCACUAAGCAACUCAGUGAGACCCUGUCUCUA
rnacentral:sRNA from 1 species